GACGAACGCUGGCGGCGUGCCUAAUACAUGCAAGUCGAACGCUGAAGGAGGAGCUUGCUUCUCUGGAUGAGUUGCGAACGGGUGAGUAACGCGUAGGUAACCUGCCUGGUAGCGGGGGAUAACUAUUGGAAACGAUAGCUAAUACCGCAUAAUAGUAGAUGUUGCAUGACAUUUGCUUAAAAGGUGCAAUUGCAUCACUACCAGAUGGACCUGCGUUGUAUUAGCUAGUUGGUGGGGUAACGGCUCACCAAGGCGACGAUACAUAGCCGACCUGAGAGGGUGAUCGGCCACACUGGGACUGAGACACGGCCCAGACUCCUACGGGAGGCAGCAGUAGGGAAUCUUCGGCAAUGGACGGAAGUCUGACCGAGCAACGCCGCGUGAGUGAAGAAGGUUUUCGGAUCGUAAAGCUCUGUUGUAAGAGAAGAACGAGUGAGAGAGUGGAAAGUUCACACUGUGACGGUAUCUUACCAGAAAGGGACGGCUAACUACGUG
rnacentral:rRNA from 1 species